rnacentral:rRNA from 1 species
AUUGAACGCUGGCGGCGUGCCUAACACAUGCAAGUCGAGCGGUAACAGGUGUAGCAAUACAUGCUGACGAGCGGCGGACGGGUGAGUAACGCUUGGGAAUCUGCCUAUUAGUGGGGGACAACCCGGGGAAACUCGGGCUAAUACCGCAUACGCACUACGGUGGAAAGCCGGGGACCGCAAGGCCUGGCGCUAACAGAUGAGCCCAAGUCGGAUUAGCUAGUUGGUAGGGUAACGGCCUACCAAGGCGACGAUCCGUAACUGGUCUGAGAGGACGACCAGUCACACCGGAACUGAGACACGGUCCGGACUCCUACGGGAGGCAGCAGUGGGGAAUAUUGGACAAUGGGCGAAAGCCUGAUCCAGCGACGCCGCGUGGGUGAAGAAGGCCUGCGGGUUGUAAAGCCCUUUCAGUGGGGAAGAAAAGCCUCGAGCUAACACCUCGGGGUCUUGACGUAACCCAUAGAAGAAGCACCGGCUAACUCUGUGCCAGCAGCCGCUGUAAC